rnacentral:rRNA from 1 species
AUUGAACGCUGGCGGCAGGCCUAACACAUGCAAGUCGAGGGGCAGCACGGUGUAGCAAUACAUUGGUGGCGACCGGCGCACGGGUGAGUAACGCGUAUGCAACCUACCUAUCAGAGGGGAAUAACCCGGCGAAAGUCGGACUAAUACCGCAUAAAACAGGGGUUCCACAUGGAAAUAUUUGUUAAAGAUUUAUCGCUGAUAGAUGGGCAUGCGUUCCAUUAGAUAGUUGGUGAGGUAACGGCUCACCAAGUCUACGAUGGAUAGGGGUUCUGAGAGGAAGGCCCCCCACACUGGUACUGAGACACGGACCAGACUCCUACGGGAGGCAGCAGUGAGGAAUAUUGGUCAAUGGGCGAGAGCCUGAACCAGCCAAGUCGCGUGAAGGAUGAAGGAUCUAUGGUUUGUAAACUUCUUUUAUAUGGGAAUAAAGUGAGGAACGUGUUCCUUUUUGUAUGUACCAUAUGAAUAAGCAUCGGCUAACUCCGUGCCAGCAGCCGCGGUAA